AUACGGAGGAUCCGAGCGUUAUCCGGAUUUAUUGGGUUUAAAGGGUGCGCAGGCGGCCAUUUAAGUCAGCGGUUAAAUCGUGGGGCUCAACCCCAUUCUGCCGUUGAUACUGGGUGGCUUGAUUGCGGUCGAGGUUGGCGGAAUUCGUUGUGUAGCGGUGAAAUGCAUAGAUAUGACGAAGAACACCGAUUGCGUAGGCAGCUGACCAGACCGCAAAUGACGCUCAUGCACGAAAGUGCGGGGAUCGAACAGGAUUAGAUACCCUGGUAGUCCGCACAGUAAACGAUGAAUACUUGUUUUCGGCGAUAUAAUGUCGGAGGCAAAGCGAAAGCGAUAAGUAUUCCACCUGGGGAGUACGCCGGCAACGGUGAAACUCAAAGGAAUGGGCGGGG
rnacentral:rRNA from 1 species